rfam:Ovis aries breed Texel chromosome 1, whole genome shotgun sequence.
CCUGGUGGCUCAGAUGGUAAAGCGUCUGCCUGCAAUGCAGGAGACCCAGGUUCGAUCCCUGGGUCAGGA